CAAAUCAAGGAGUCAAAGAUAGCAGUAACUAAGUCAUGACCAUCUGAUGCAUGAUGCAGUCAUAUCCAUGGUACUGACAUAGCAUGACCCUUGCUUGGAGUAUGAAGUUAUGUCACCCAAGUCACAGGAUGAUUAUUAAGAAAACAUAUAGACACCCAAAAACAUCCUGUAGAGAUGAUGAGAUACAACAUGCUUUAAAUUGUAUUACAGAAUUUAAAUAACUAGUUUUCACAAUUGGCUGUAUGUAAAAUGUCAUUUAAAUAGUGUUUUCAAAUGCAUUGCUCUUACAACCUUGAUUUUCCUUUAACUCUUCUCUUUCAUAAUAUUUAAAGCAUUCAUCUGCCAUGUUGAUAAUUAAAUUAGCAGUUUAAAUUAGCAACUAAAGUUCCCUUGAGGCCCUUUCCCCUUGUAUUUGAGAUUAGGUCUUGAUAUAUAGUCUUAGCUGGCCUCUAACUUGUGAUCCUCCUGCCUCAGCCUUGAGCUUUUACAUCACACAUAUGUAAUAAACCAGGAUGAAUAUUCCAGAUUCAUCAUUUUCAGGUUUAAUAGUGGCAUUGAAGUAGUCCUUGGCCAAAAGAAGUCAGUUUGUGAAUGUUGUGUGUUAAGUAUGACAAAAUAACAAGACUAGAAGUUCAAAGUAAAAAGCAGACACCUUUGAUUUUUGAUUAAGAAAAAGCACUCUGCAUCUCUUUAUUUAAAGUUUCCUGUUUGUUCUUUCUGAGAGAGUAAGUGAAAACACCUUUAAAAUCAUGUCACCUGCUUAGAAUGUACAUGUUAAAAACAACUUAAGACCAAAAAAAAACCUAGCUUUACAGUGUACAUUUUUCUCUAAAAUAAACUUUGGUGGCUUAGUGUCUUGGAAGGAGAGUCCUAAUAUGAAACUGUCACCUCUUAGAUUUCGGAGGAAGAAGCCAUUGUUACUAAGCUGUGUAGUGUUACAUUACACUACAUAGUUUUUUUGUUUUGGUCUGGUGUAGCUUUGGCUGUCCUGAAAUUAAACUCACUAUAUAAACCAGGCUUGCCUCAGAGAUCCUCCUGCCUCUGUCUCCUGAAUGCUGGGACAAAGGUAUGUGCCACCACCACCCAGCCAGAAUAGUUUAAAGAAAGUUAUGCUAAAUUUUCUAGUUCUGGUAAACAGUCUUCCAGUCAUCUUCACAACUAUUAUUACAACCAUGUACAAAGAGACUCUACUCUAGUCAUUCCUAUACAAGGACUUUUGACAGUUUAGUUCUUAGUAACUAGUAUUAGUUUUCUUCCUUUUAGAAGAACUAUACAUUUGAUUUCUCAAUUCUGUUUGCAAUGCAGUACAGAAAACUAUAAUCAAAUGUGACAUCUAUAAAAUAAUUUUGGCAUAACAGACAUGAACAGACAUAAGAAUGACUUUCAAUGUUAAUUAUAAUCUAUAAAUAUCACUUUGGAAUUUGACUGGUUCACAAAUAUAUCCACAGAAUGUUUGCAUAUGGAAUGAUGAAAGCAUAUAAAACCUUUCCUGUGUAUGUAAACUGCAUCUUCAUACUAGCAAACAAGUAGCAAUUGAUAAUAAAUGCAAUUCAGUUUUGGAUGUCAGUCCACAUUGUCAAGAAGUCAUGUAAUAAUAAUAAAUACAUAUUCUGCCUGCUCCUUGACCAUGAGUUUUGCACACUAGAGGUUUACUGUUUAAGUGUUGACCUUUACUCACUGCAUGAAACACUGAUGCCAGGUCACUAAUCUUCUUAAAUAAGGAAUUUGCAUGACCAUUGGUUUUUUAGCAAUCUGGCAAGAUUUGCAAACUUUCAGGCACUUAAUUCUGAAGAUUAAGAUUCAUAUGGUAGUUUUUGAGUGUAAAUGUGUUAAUGGACAAAAGCUUAAGAGUGAAGAAAAGCUUUGGAACUUCUCAGGUUAAGAAUAAUUUCUGCCCAGGUCCUCUAUGACUUGCUGCUCCUGGAGCUGGCAAGGUGGUUCAACCAAUAAAAGCACUUGCUAUGUG
rnacentral:lncRNA from 1 species